AUUGAACGCUGGCGGCAGGCCUAACACAUGCAAGUCGAGCGGAUGAAGGGAGCUUGCUCCUGGAUUCAGCGGCGGACGGGUGAGUAAUGCCUAGGAAUCUGCCUUGUAGUGGGGGAUAACGUCCGUAAACGGGCGCUAAUACCGCAUACGUCCUGAGUGAGAACGUGGGGGAUCUUCGGACCUCACGCUAUCAGAUGAGCCUAGGUCGGAUUAGCUAGUUGGUGGGGUAAAGGCCUACCAAGGCGACGAUCCGUAACUGGUCUGAGAGGAUGAUCAGUCACACUGGAACUGAGACACGGUCCAGACUCCUACGGGAGGCAGCAGUGGGGAAUAUUGGACAAUGGGCGAAAGCCUGAUCCAGCCAUGCCGCGUGUGUGAAGAAGGUCUUCGGAUUGUAAAGCACUUUAAGUUGGGAGGAAGGGCAGUAAGUUAAUACCUUGCUGUUUUGACGGUACCAACAGAAUAAGCACCGGCUAACUUCGUG
rnacentral:rRNA from 1 species